UACAGAGGUCUCGAGCGUUGUUCGGAUUCAUUGGGCGUAAAGGGCGCGUAGGCGGCGGGGUAAGUCUGGUGUGAAAUCUCGGAGCUCAACUCCGAAAUUGCACUGGAUACUGCUCUGCUAGAGGGCUGGAGAGGAGAUCGGAAUUCACGGUGUAGCAGUGAAAUGCGUAGAUAUCGUGAGGAAGACCAGUGGCGAAGGCGGAUCUCUGGACAGCUCCUGACGCUGAGGCGCGAAGGCUAGGGGGAGCAAACGGG
rnacentral:rRNA from 1 species